rnacentral:tRNA from 1 species
UCUCUGGUAGUCCAGUGGCUAAGACUCUGUGCUCCCAAUACAGAGGGCUUGGGUUCAAUCCCUGGUCAGGGAA